GCCAGACUCCUACGGGAGGCAGCAGUGGGGAAUAUUGGGCAAUGGGCGCAAGCCUGACCCAGCAACGCCGCGUGAAGGAAGAAGGCCCUCGGGUUGUAAACUUCUUUUAUCAAGGACGAAACAAAUGACGGUAUUUGAUGAAUAAGCCACGGCUAACUACGUGCCAGCAGCCGCGGUAAUACGUAGGUGGCAAGCGUUAUCCGGAUUUACUGGGUGUAAAGGGCGUGUAGCCGGGCUGACAAGUCAGAUGUGAAAUCCGGGGGCUCAACCCCCGAACUGCAUUUGAAACUGUUGGUCUUGAGUAUCGGAGAGGCAGGCGGAAUUCCUAGUGUAGCGGUGAAAUGCGUAGAUAUUAGGAGGAACACCAGUGGCGAAGGCGGCCUGCUGGACGACAACUGACGGUGAGGCGCGAAAGCGUGGGGAGCAAACAGGAUUAGAUACCCGAGUAC
rnacentral:rRNA from 1 species